GGACGGGUGGCGCAAUGGUAGCGCAUAUCUUUCCGGUCAAGCCUCCCAAACAUCGUUUGAAGGGGUCCCUGAUAGAUAAGGCUGCGGGUUCGAGUCCUGUCUCGUCCG
rnacentral:tRNA from 2 species